rnacentral:rRNA from 1 species
CGCAACCCCUACUGCUAGUUGCCAGCGGGUCAUGCCGGGGACUCUAGCGGAACUGCCAGCGUAAGCUGCGAGGAAGUGGGGAUGACGUCAAAUCAGCACGGCCCUUACGUCCAGGGCUACACACGUGUUACAAUGGCCAGUACAGAGGGCAGCCACCCCGCGAGGGGGCGCUAAUCCUAAAAGCUGGUCCCAGUUCGGAUCGGAGUCUGCAACCCGACUCCGUGAAGCUGGAUUCGCUAGUAAUCGCGCAUCAGCCACGGCGCGGUGAAUACGUUCCCGGGCCUU